AGUGAACGCUGGCGGUAGGCCUAACACAUGCAAGUCGAACGGCAGCACAGUAAGAGCUUGCUCUUACGGGUGGCGAGUGGCGGACGGGUGAGGAAUACAUCGGAAUCUACUUUUUCGUGGGGGAUAACGUAGGGAAACUUACGCUAAUACCGCAUACGACCUACGGGUGAAAGCAGGGGAUCUUCGGACCUUGCGCGAUUGAAUGAGCCGAUGUCGGAUUAGCUAGUUGGCGGGGUAAAGGCCCACCAAGGCGACGAUACGUAGCUGGUCUGAGAGGAUGAUCAGCCACACUGGAACUGAGACACGGUCCAGACUCCUACGGGAGGCAGCAGUGGGGAAUAUUGGACAAUGGGCGCAAGCCUGAUCCAGCCAUACCGCGUGGGUGAAGAAGGCCUUCGGGUUGUAAAGCCCUCUUGUUGGGAAAGAAAAGCAGCAGGUUAAUACCCCGCUGUUCUGACGGUACCCAAAGAAUAAGCACCGGCUAACUUCGUG
rnacentral:rRNA from 1 species